AGUGAACGCUGGCGGUAGGCCUAACACAUGCAAGUCGAACGGCAGCACAGUAAGAGCUUGCUCUUACGGGUGGCGAGUGGCGGACGGGUGAGGAAUACAUCGGAAUCUACUUUUUCGUGGGGGAUAACGUAGGUAAACUUACGCUAAUACCGCAUACGAUCUACGGGUGAAAGCAGGGGAUCUUCGGACCUUGCGCGAUUGAAUGGGCCGAUGUCGGAUUAGCUAGUUGGCGGGGUAAAGGCCCACCAAGGCGACGAUCGGUAGCUGGUCUGAGAGGAUGAUCGGCCACACUGGAACUGAGACACGGUCCAGACUCCUACGGGAGGCAGCAGUGGGGAAUAUUGGACAAUGGGCGCAAGCCUGAUCCAGCCAUACCGCGUGGGUGAAGAAGGCCUUCGGGUUGUAAAGCCCUUUUGUUGGGAAAGAAAAGCAGCAGGUUAAUACCCCGCUGUUCUGACGGUACCCAAAGAAUAAGCACCGGCUAACUUCGUG
rnacentral:rRNA from 1 species